rnacentral:lncRNA from 1 species
AUUUUCCAGACGCCAUUUUCCAUCUGAGGUUUAGAACAGCAACUGCAAACUAGCGAGGGAAUCCCCAGAGCAGUCUAACCUUAGCCUACUCUGCCCGGAUGCUAACGGCAACACAGGACGGUUUCCAUACGCUCUGGAGAGUUUCUAAAACAUAACUGCCACAGUUCUCUAUACAAUAACACAAGACCCUGUGACGGUGGCUGAUUAGAGACGGAUGGUGUAUUUCCAGAGUUGGUGAAAUGACCAAGCACACCUUCUUGAUCAUAUGUGGUGAUAAUUAUGAAGAUUAUAUUUGGACCUGAAACAUCUGCUAGACUCCAGUAAAGGUGGCCUCAAUACUGGACCUGAAAGGGCCUAACAAGUUGAAUCUGCUGGGAGAGUCAAGUUGUGGAUCAUCAUGAAGAUUUUCAAAAGUCAUGCUGGAGUCUUGAAGAGUUCUUAGAUGAGCAUCACCCUAUAUCCGUGCAUCAGGAACCACCAGACGAGCGAUCAGCAGCCACUACAUCGUCAUGGAUAAAAAGGUCAUCCUGUGGCUGGGAAGCACUUCAUUCACAGGACAUGCUUGAUGAAAUUUCAUAGCUCCAGUUUGUUUUUACACAAGUUUACAGCAUUUAUACCUUCAUUUAAACUGCUCUGUUUAAUAUGGAGGACCAAGGAAACACCAGAAGUGAAAGAUUUGCAAGCCAAGUUGUUUAAAAUGUAAUUUCAGAAGAAAGCUAUGAGUUCAGAAGUAAACUAUGAGUGACGAUAUAUUGAACUUUCAAAUUGCUCUGAUGAAACAUCAACUUUGGACCAA